GACUCGGUGGCGGAAGGUCCGCAUUGCCUUCGUUCAAGGGAUAACCAUGUAGUCAGCAGAAGACGCCCGUUCGACUCGGGCCCGAGUCA